ensembl:lncRNA
CACGUCCAUCGUUUGAGAGGCUGAAAUCCUGAAAAGGAGAGCUUGAUAGUCCCGAGGGAUGUGCGGCACAAGAGCCAACAGCAUGGGAGAGGCGUCUGGUACACACGGCCUCCAAGCAGGGCGCUGAAGCCCCACCAGCUGGAUGGGGUGGCCAGCAGCUUUGGCCAGGCCACCUGUUGCCAUUCCUCCCAUGACUGACCCCCACUAACCCACCACCCUGCACAGGCGAGAAGGGAACCAAGAAAGAGAGUGCUGUGGCACCAAACCAGCACCUUUUGGGGCUGCCGAGCGGCCCUUUCCUCUCACCUACGCAUGCUCCAGCUAGCUGGAAUGGAGACAGCACAAUGCAUUUAGUCCUUUGGACGAGAAAGUCUUGGCACACCUCAGAAGUGUCCUCCUCUAAAAAUGCUGCAGAGUGGAGUUUGGAAACCACCUGUUCCAAUGUGUUUACAAUCGCAUCCAUGUGAGCAGUCCUUUGGG